AACGAACGCUGGCGGCAUGCCUAACACAUGCAAGUCGAACGAGACCUUCGGGUCUAGUGGCGCACGGGUGCGUAACGCGUGGGAACCUGCCCUUAGGUUCGGAAUAACUCCCCGAAAGGGGUGCUAAUACCGGAUAAUGUCUUCGGACCAAAGAUUUAUCGCCUUUGGAUGGGCCCGCGUUGGAUUAGCUAGUUGGUAGGGUAAAAGCCUACCAAGGCGACGAUCCAUAGCUGGUCUGAGAGGAAGAUCAGCCACACUGGGACUGAGACACGGCCCAGACUCCUACGCGAGGCAGCAGUGGGGAAUAUUGGACAAUGGGCGAAAGCCUGAUCCAGCAAUGCCGCGUGAGUGAUGAAGGCCUUAGGGUUGUAAAGCUCUUUUACCCGGGAUGAUAAUGACAGUACCGGGAGAAUAAGCACCGGCUAACUCCGUG
rnacentral:rRNA from 1 species